GGAAGAUGAAACAUUUGAGCGGGCUCGGCAGGGAGUCAGAAGGAAGAACACGUCAGCCAAGGAGCCAGGCAUUUGAACGGCUGCAAAAAAAACAAAAGUCAGGUGUUGGCUUUCCCCAACACCCCCUUCUCCAUCCAGCAUAGGAAGGUGCUGGUUGCUGCAUCCUCUGAAUCUGCCGUUUGGCACUGUGUGACCUUGGGAAGCUAAAGGAAGUAAAGCCCUUGAAAAGAAGCAGAAAAGAUGUUCAGGUAUCUGUUAAUGGAGCUGCUGUUACACCACAAGUUUUCCAACUACACCUGCAACCCAGGUGUGGGUUGGUUGGGUGAUUUCUAAAGGUUCAUGUUUGUCUUGCUUUCCAAUAAACUCCCAGGUUGUGUUAAAGCAAAAUGUAUCUGAUUUUACUGUUUAACCCAACAUGUUUUUUUUUUUUUUUUUUUUUACAAAUUCAGCAGACAAGCAUCUAAACACUGUCUGAUGGGGAAAUAAUUCA